rnacentral:rRNA from 1 species
AGAGUUUGAUCCUGGCUCAGAAUCAACGCUGGCGGCGUGCCUAACACAUGCAAGUCGAACGCGAAAGUCCCGCAAGGGAUUAGUAGAGUGGCAAACGGGUGAGUAACGCGUGGGUGACCUGCCUCCGAGUGGGGGAUAACGUUUCGAAAGGAACGCUAAUACCGCAUGACAUUCUGCCUUUGAAGAGGUGGAAAUCAAAGCUGGGGAUCGCAAGACCUAGCGCUCGAAGAGGGGCCCGCGUCCGAUUAGCUAGUUGGUGGGGUAACGGCCUACCAAGGCUCCGAUCGGUAUCCGGCCUGAGAGGGCGGACGGACACACUGGGACUGAGACACGGCCCAGACUCCUACGGGAGGCAGCAGUGGGGAAUUGUUCGCAAUGGGCGCAAGCCUGACGACGCAACGCCGCGUGGAGGAUGAAGACCUUCGGGUCGUAAACUCCUUUCGAUCGAGACGAAUAGCCUUCGGGUGAACAAUCCGGAGGAAUGACGGUACCGAGAGAAGAAGCCCCGGCUAACUCCGUGCCAGCAGCCGCGGUAAUACGGGGGGGGCAAGCGUUGUUCGGAAUUACUGGNGCGUAAAGGGCUCGUAGGUGGCCAACUAAGUCAGACGUGAAAUCCCUCGGGCUUAACCGGGGAACUGCGUCUGAUACUGGAUGGCUUGAGAUUGGGAGAGGGAUGCGGAAUUCCAGGUGUAACGGUGAA